rnacentral:rRNA from 1 species
GACGAACGCUGGCGGCGUGCUUAACACAUGCAAGUCGAACGGAAAGGCCCUGCUUUUGUGGGGUGCUCGAGUGGCGAACGGGUGAGUAACACGUGAGUAACCUGCCCUUGACUUUGGGAUAACUUCAGGAAACUGGGGCUAAUACCGGAUAGGAGCUCCUGCUGCAUGGUGGGGGUUGGAAAGUUUCGGCGGUUGGGGAUGGACUCGCGGCUUAUCAGCUUGUUGGUGGGGUAGUGGCUUACCAAGGCUUUGACGGGUAGCCGGCCUGAGAGGGUGACCAGCCACAUUGGGACUGAGAUACGGCCCAGACUCCUACGGGAGGCAGCAGUGGGGAAUAUUGCACAAUGGGCGGAAGCCUGAUGCAGCAACGCCGCGUGCGGGAUGACGGCCUUCGGGUUGUAAACCGCUUUCGCCUGUGACGAAGCGUGAGUGGCGGUAAUGGGUAAAGAAGCACCGGCUAACUACGUG